rnacentral:rRNA from 1 species
AGUGAACGCUGGCGGUAGGCCUAACACAUGCAAGUCGAACGGCAGCACAGUAAAAGCUUGCUCUUACGGGUGGCGAGUGGCGGACGGGUGAGGAAUACAUCGGAAUCUACUUUUUCGUGGGGGAUAACGUAGGGAAACUUACGCUAAUACCGCAUACGACCUACGGGUGAAAGCAGGGGAUCUUCGGACCUUGCGCGAUUGAAUGAGCCGAUGUCGGAUUAGCUAGUUGGCGGGGUAAAGGCCCACCAAGGCGACGAUCCGUAGCUGGUCUGAGAGGAUGAUCAGCCACACUGGAACUGGGACACGGUCCAGACUCCUACGGGAGGCAGCAGUGGGGAAUAUUGGACAAUGGGCGCAAGCCUGAUCCAGCCCUACCGCGUGGGUGAAGAAGGCCUUCGGGUUGUAAAGCCCUUUUGUUGGGAAAGAAAAGCAGCAGGUUAAUACCCCGCUGUUCUGACGGUACCCAAAGAAUAAGCACCGGCUAACUUCGUG